GACGGGGGAGGCAAGCGUUGUCCGGAAUCACUGGGCGUAAAGCGUCUGUAGGCGGUGAGGCGAGUCGCUGGUGCAAAACUCCGGCUCAACCGGGGGAAAGGCGGUGAAACGGCAUGACUAGAGUGUGGGAGAGGUUGAAGGAAUUCCGUGAGGAGCGGUGAAAUGCGUAGAGACAGGGAAGAACGCCGGAGGGGAAAGCGGUCAACUGGGCUACGCCUGACGCUGCGGGGCGAAAGCGUGGGGAGCAAACGGG
rnacentral:rRNA from 1 species